rnacentral:rRNA from 1 species
CAGUCGCCGCGGUAAUACGUAGGGUGCGAGCGUUAAUCGGAAUUACUGGGCGUAAAGCGUGCGCAGGCGGUCUGUUAAGACCGAUGUGAAAUCCCCGGGCUUAACCUGGGAACUGCAUUGGUGACUGGCAGGCUAGAGUAUGGCAGAGGGGGGUAGAAUUCCACGUGUAGCAGUGAAGUGCGUAGAGAUGUGGAGGAAUACCGAUGGCGAAGGCAGCCCCCUGGGCCAAUACUGACGCUCAUGCACGAAAGCGUGGGGAGCAAACAGGAUUAGAUACCCGUGUAGUCCCUGUCUCUUAUAC